AGAGUUUGAUCCUGGCUCAGAACGAACGCUGCGCAGGCUUUAACACAUGCAAGUCGAACGCACCGCAAGGUGAGUGGCAGACGGGUGAGUAACGCAUGGGAAUCUACCCAGUUCUUCGGAAUAACUGAGGGAAACUUCAGCUAAUACCGGAUACGCCCUAUGGGGGAAAGAUUUAUCGGAAUUGGAUGAGCCCGCGUCCGAUUAGCUAGUUGGUGGGGUAAUGGCCUACCAAGGCUGCGUCGUUCUGGUCUGAGAGGAUGAUCAGCCACACUGGGACUGAGACACGGCCCAGACUCCUACGGGAGGCAGCAGUGGGGAAUAUUGGACAAUGGGCGCAAGCCUGAUCCAGCCAUGCCGCGUGAGUGAUGAAGGCCUUAGGGUUGUAAGCUCUUUCGGUGGGGAAGAUAAUGCGG
rnacentral:rRNA from 1 species